rnacentral:rRNA from 1 species
UGGCGAACGGGUGAGUAACACGUGGGUGAUCUGCCCUGCACUUCGGGAUAAGCCUGGGAAACUGGGUCUAAUACCGGAUAGGAGCCAUUUUUAGUGUGAUGGUUGGAAAGUCUUUUCGGUGUAGGAUGAGCUCGCGGCCUAUCAGCUUGUUGGUGGGGUAAUGGCCUACCAAGGCGGCGACGGGUAGCCGGCCUGAGAGGGUGAUCGGCCACACUGGGACUGAGACACGGCCCAG